rnacentral:rRNA from 1 species
UACGGGGGGAGCAAACGUUGUUCGGAAUCACUGGGCGUAAAGGGCGUGUAGGCGGCUGAAUAAGUGGGAUGUUAAAUCCCCCGGCUCAACCGGGGACCUGCAUCUCAUACUGUUCAGCUCGAGCACAUCAGAGGAGACUGGAAUUCCCGGUGUAGCGGUGAAAUGCGUAGAUAUCGGAAGGAACAUCAGUGGCGAAAGCGACUUCCUGGACCAAUACUGACGCUCAUGUGCGAAAGCGUGGGGAGCAAACAGG